CGCCUCUCCAUUGGCUCGGUCGCCAUCGCCAAGGUCUCAUUUUUAUUCUCCAGUGGCUGAUUUCGAGUGCGUCGGCUCGAUCUGCAACGGCCUUCCUCCACUCCAACGCCGUGCGAACGACGCCAGGGCCACCAUGACCAGGAGCAGGACGACGCCUUGGAAGGUUCACCGACAGCAGCAGCUACGGUCCGGUCUUCUCCACUGACAGGGAUAUGGACAUGGAGGUCCGCCGUGGGCCUGGAGCUCGUCAUGGAGGGUCCCUCCUCUCUCUUCCCCUCCCUCCACUCUGUUGGUUGGUUGGACAGAAGACCACCGCUCGUCUGGCUCUGCUUCUUCCACCGCUGCUCCCCUCCCACCAUAGUGCCAGAGACGUUGUGCCAAGAACGGAAGAUCAUGUGCCGUUUGUCAUGGAAAUCGUUGUGAUUGAUCCCCCGAAGCAUCUUAUCUUUUUGUUGAAUGUGCUUCAGGCAUGAGGCAUGACUUCACAUAUCUGAGUCAAAUAUCUGGGAGUUCGAACAAGUUGGAUGCAUUUCUCAAUUCCAGUUUCUCUAUGUUUACCCAAUGCCAAAGGUAACCAUUUUUUUUUGAAUUUUAAAGGUAACCAAUAUUAGUUCUGGAUGCGUGAAAACAGUUUGCCAUAGACAUUAUUAGAGAACCACCGCUAACACAUUUCUUUGAUAGGCAGUAACCAAUAAAUAACUUACGGCGACAGUACACUACAUAUAUGUACAUGUAUGCUCU